rnacentral:rRNA from 1 species
AUACGGAGGGCGCAAGCGUUGUUCGGAAUCAUUGGGCGUAAAGCGCGUGUAGGCGGCUUGGCAAGUCGAGUGUGAAAGCCCGAGGCUCAACCUCGGAACUGCGCUCGAUACUGCCUCGCUAGAGUCCCGGAGAGGAAGGCGGGAUUCCCGGUGUAGAGGUGAAAUUCGUAGAUAUCGGGAGGAACACCAGUGGCGAAGGCGGCCUUCUGGACGGUGACUGACGCUGAGACGCGAAAGCGUGGGGAGCAAACAGGAUUAGAUACCCGAGUAGUCC